GAGAGACUCGACAGCUCUGCUGGAGCAGAGACUCCAUGCUCAGCUCUCCCAGGCAACUCGAACCCAGGAUGGACAUAGGCUAGAAUCUUCCCGGAAUUAUCUUAUAAGGCUAUCCCCAACAUGGACGUGAGAAAAGAACCACUUGCCUCUCCCAGGUCCCCACUCCCCCAUGUGCCCCGCCCCACCUGAUUAUGAACACAGAAGCUGACAGAGAUGCUGCAAGGGAAAGGGCACUUGGAUAGUCUGCAGCAUCUUUCACCAAUGGCAAGUGCCAAAACGUGAUGACUUCCCAGGCACAAGGAAGGAAUUUGUCCAUGAGGGUCUCAUGACCUGCUUCUUGAGACAAGAACAAGGGGAAGAGAAGGGUGACCUUCCUGCUUUUGCUGUUCUGAAAGGCCCAAGGUGCCAUGUUUAACCCCAUCAGUGCCUAUUCUCUGCCCACGUACUCUUGCCACCUCAUAGAAGCAGAUGGUUACUACAGUCCAAAGCACCAUAGUCAUGCCCAGCAUGUGAACAAAGGGAAGAGAUGGCAAGGCUCGUAUACCCCGGGGCUGUCUCUUUCAUAGGGAAGGAGGGCCUUCCCAUUCCUAGCCUCUGCCUUCGGCAGGCUCCUCCAACCCAGAGUAACAACCUGCUACAAAACACAGUGAGGAUGGGUAUCUCUCUGCUCGAGCAGCCUCUCAUGGCCAACCUAUCAUGACGGUCCUUUCAAGCUUCAAAUGCCAGCAAAGAUGUUGUAUGAUGUAUUUAGAGGCCUAAAUCAUCCACAGCUGGGUUUACCUUUCUUUGGGAACACACACACACGUGCAUACACACACACACACACUCAAAUAUAUAUAUUUGACUAAUCUUCCCACGUAGCCUGUCAAGUCAUUUGCUUAGUUUUUCCGUGUUUGCUGUCAAAGAUGAGCUUUUCCCUCAGCAAAUAUAACAAUUUUCUA